CAGCCUUGAGUUAAGAAUCAGGUUAUCAAUGAUUUUCUGUUUAUUUCUGUAAAAAGCACUUUGAUAAUUGGCCUUAUCAAAUAAAUAAAGUUUCCAUGUACAGCAACAGCCCAUUGUCACAGACAUGGCAAGCAGAAGCUUGGUAGAGCUUGGAAGGACAAAUGGAAUUGUUGAUUACAUCCUAAGAGCUUUCCUUUACGUAGCCUAAGUAAAUAUUAGGAUAUCACAGUUGUGCAUUGAGUAAGACCUUGUUUAAUUCAGUCCAAGGUUGGAAGCAUCAGUUUAGCUGGGCCAGAGGCAAAUUUACAAGAACCUGAGUUAAUCAGGGGUUCAGUCUGGAGUAAAAACUACACCAUCUGGAUUGGGUUUUCCUGCAACUACUCUCAAGUUACCAAAAGUUAUAAUUUUCUUCUGAAGCUGAAGGCACAAAUCGUUGAGAUGGUCAGCUUGCCAGUACUUAAGAAACACUUUUCGAACUCCUAUCUAGAAUAUAAACAGCAAAGAAAUCAUCAACAAAUAAGCUGAAUUCGCCUAUAUCUUUCCUGCAACCCAAAGCUGAGCUGUCUUGUCUUUCACACACCAUGGUAGGCAAAGCUGCAGUGCUGGAAUGACUCCAGGGAUCUCAAUUGUACCCAAAGCUGUGGCAAGUCUGGAGCAACAUCUGCAGGAUGAACGAGUCACUCCCAGCUCACAGAUCUCCUUGUCAAUGGGAAACUGUCCCCAUUAACUAUGACAAACCAAUCUGAGUCCAAACUCACACUCAGGACAAAUUCCAACCAUUAAUGUGUGGAGGUAAGUUCAGUCAAUAGGUUAUACACAAAUUCCAUUUACAUUUCCAACAACUAUGUCCACUAAGGAUUUUGGGUCACCUCAAUUGCCUGAUGUUGUGAUUUCAAUAAUAGAUGACUGGAUUGUCCCUGCAUCUGUCAUCUGACUGCAGAUAAAUUCUAACACAUGUGGUAGACACUCUAAAAAUUGAGCAAAAAUCUGAGUUCUCACCAGUGGUGCUCCGGGUACAUCCAAAAUGAAGAAAUACAACCAAAUGUCUCUUUUAAUACUGAGCCUAUCCCUGAAGACACUGUAUAGAAGAAGAGCACUAAAGCACUAAGACAAGAAAGUAGUUGGAUUUUUUGGGUUUUUUUAAACUUUUUAUGGGGAUGGAUGAAAAACAACUAGUUAAUUUACAGACUUUAGAUAUAAGAAGCUCUGGCUUGCAUAAUAGUAGAACCCAAAGGGAAUUUUUAAGUCAAAAAGAAAGAAUAUUAUAGAUUUCAGUACUUGCAUGAUUAGGCAGGUAUUAAUGGGAACUUAGAAUACAGUUCAGUUUUAUUUACCUUGGGACCAUGUUUCUAUCUAAAGCCUUCUUUAAUUUUUUGUAUUGGAUCUAUAUCCUAAACCCCUUAGGUGUUUGAGGAAAUUUUAUCCUUGUACAUUUAAUAAAGCCCUAAAUAUAUAAUUAAGAUUAGUAACACUAAUCAGUUCAUUAAUUUUCCAUAGGGUCACUUGACAAUUAUGCAAUGCUAUCUUGUUCACAAAAGAAAUUAUGUGAUUUGGAAGUGUAUAAUCUGUUAGAGUGAGUAAUUGUCAAAUUAUGUACUUACUAUGGCAUCUGACAUGAACAAGGUAUAACAAGAGAAUUAUGGUUCUUUUCCAUGACAGAGCCAAUGUUAUGUAUUUUCUAAUUGCAUUUCCUAAGAACAUGCAACACAGUUAGCAAACUAUUAGAGUUCUUCAAGUAUACUAUUAAAUGCUUUUAGUGUACUCAACAUAAAUGUUGUGCUAUCUUGGCCCGUAAAAGGUAAUUAACAGAAUUUAUAUGACAAAUCCAUAAUGCCAGUUCCUAAUUGAGUGUCUUGGGCUUUCACUAAAUUAGAAGAAGAGAAUUAGUAUUGGUGGUAAGAGUAGGUAAGUAUAGCAGUGGGAGAUGCUAUAUCAUGAUUAACUGCCUAGAUUAAAACAGGGAGAAGUUUCAGUAUUAAUGCUGGUAUAAUACAUCACAAACUUCUGGAACUAUAUUCAUAAGACAUAUUUAAUAUCACAUAAAAUAGAUAAAACUUAGGGGGAUUCCCUUUUAUGAAGAACUUGCUAACGCUCUAAACAAUUCUCCCAUAGACUUGGUAAAUUAAUUCACUGCCUAAAGACAUGAAAUCUGACUCAAUGAAAUGACACUCUGGGGUUCCAUAGUCAUUGCCAGUCCCACAAAACACAAAAAGAAAUAAGUCCUCUUCCAGCUGUCAAUUUUGUUGAUUUAAUCUUGCCCUCAUCGAACUACAAACUACAAACUACAAACUACAUGCCACCUAAAGCACAUAUAUUUCCCUCAGUUUUCUUCCAUUGUGUUUGUAAAAUAAACCUGGCCCAAACUCUGCACUGGCUGGCACUCCAGCACAGUGGAUAGUUAUUCUGGGGAGACAAAAAGCAAGCAAAUAUUGUAUGCUUUAGAUAGGAAAUGUGCACUCGCUUAGAUAGUGGGUCCAGUAUUAUAAAACAUACCACUUAUUGUCACUUCUAUUUACCACAACUUGCUUUCUCUUGCUUUAUAUGAUGGCUUUUUAGGGUAGACAGAGUGCAAACCUAUACGUCUGUGUUAGCCAAAGGAAACAAGACCUUUAUAUGGUAUCUGAAUAGCUGAAAUAUUUUUAUUUAAAAAAAAUACUGUUCCACACUACAUUUUAUUUCAUUAUAAGAGAAAAAAACCAAAAUGGAGCUGGAUUUGCUUUCCUUCUAAAUUUAAGUUCAUAAAGGAAGAGAGCUUAACAUAAUUCAUAAUGGAUAUGGUCAAAUAUUCAUCUGUCCUCAAUAUUUUGGGAAAACUAUUGAGGAGUAUUUCCAUUCUACCAGCCACCAGUUCCCUUCUCAGAUUUCAGGGCUCUGCUCAUGAAGGCACUCAUGUCCUGCAUGCUGUAUCUCACCUUUGAAUUUAGUAUCUCUUGACUCACAUUUCCUCCUCAAAUCUCUGUUUCCAGAUCUCAUUAACAUUUCCAGCAUAUUUUAAGACUCUGUGUCAAUGAGUUUCACUAAUUACUAAGUAUGAGAGAAAAAAAAAAACAAACAACUAUAUUUUGCUUUGAACCUGUUUUUUGCUCAUUUAAGUUAGCAUAGCUGGUUUUAAUACCAUAAGAACCAGGUACAAGCAAGAGGUAAAAUUCCCAGAAAAUAGGAGACUUGCCAGAUAUGAACAGAGCUGACUUUGGGAACUGUGUAUUCCUCUUAUCUUUUUACACAUUCUUGUCUCUUUGCUUCUUUAAUUAUCUUCAUGCCAGAAAAUCAGAAGACUCUAUAUAUUGUCUUCUGAACUAAAGUAUCCUCUCUCAUAACAUCUCAUUUGCUUAAGGGAUUUUCUCCAAGUUUAUUUGGCAUCCUACAUAUACUUUAUCAACAGGACCACCUUUACACAUAGUUUUCAUCAAGUCCUUAAAAUAUUCUUUUUUUUUUUUGUAAAUAAUUUUCAUAUCUUGCGAUAGGCCAAAAAACCUCAUGGUUAAUGGCAGAUUUGGCAGGAACCCUAAAACAAGCUAGGGAAACGCCACCUGGAAUAUUAAGAACAAUUUGGCUGCAUUCCCAGUGAGAAAUGAAAAUUUUAUUAUUUUAAUAACAAAAUGUAACAGAGAAACUCAGUUUUACCUGUGUUGUAAAUUUUAGGUAAUAAGAAAAUAAUAGGAAAAUAAUUAGUUCAUGUAGCAAAGGAGAAAUUUUUGAGAACAUGUCCAAGGACAAUUUGGUGCACAGAGAGACACUUGUAGUUGCUAAUUUUCUGCCAGUACUUGAAUGAGAGUGAUAUGCUUGCAUGUACCAUUUUUUAAGUACCACUGGGUUUAUCAACCUCCUAAAACAAAUCUCGCUAAGCAAUGAGUGAGCUAAAUAAUGUUAUAGUCUGUCAAGUCUUAUUCUAACGCUGUGAUGGAAUAGCAUUUUGAAAGAAGGAAGUAUUUAGAAACAAAAUAGACGGGCGCGGGAAAGCAUUUUAUCAUUUUCUCAAAUCCCAAAUCAAGACUACUUAAAGAAAGAAAGAGAGAGAGAAAAGAAGAAAAAGGAAGACUGUCUUGCCUAUGUGAAAACCAGAAUCUACGUCAAGCAGCCUUUAUAUGCCUUGGUACAGUUUAGAUUAGAUUGAUUUGAUUGUUGCGUCUGGGGAUUCAGCCUGGGGAAAAAAAUAGUGAAAAUGAAAGGAUCCUUAUUGAUUAAUCCUCCUCCUUUUGUCUUUUGAUUUAGAGGUUCAGUUUCAGAGUCUGCCUGGGAUAUACAAGGCAUUUGAGAGAAGACUGCCUUGGUGAAGGUGAGCUGACAGCUGAGAGGUAUUUUUGGUAUGCAGGUAGCUGAGAAAUUAAAGACAUUGAUCUGCACUUAAAGGAACAUUGUGUGCACUGGUUUAUAGAGCAAAGAAGCUGAUCUUUAGGUCUGGUCAGUUUAUUACAGUACAGAAAGUCAAAACAGUGGCAAGGCAAACAGCAACAAAGAGCUUAUUUAAUUUGUAAAUUCAAGUUUAAUUUAAACAGCAGAAUGCUUAAGUUAUGAUUAUGUAUUAUUCAGAUCACGUGAAUAAUGAGGCAAAUACCAUUAUGUUAAAUACGACUGUUAUGUAAAGCUGUGUCUCUUGGCACUGUGCUAAAACAAAAUAUUUCUGAUUUAUUUAGUGAUAUGUUAAUUCUUCCACAAAAUUUUAAAAAGUAAAGAACUUUGAGUCCUUAAGAAAGUUCAAUGAUGGAAAUGUUACUCUUCAAAAAUCAUGGCUAUUGAUAUGCCUGAUAGUUCAAAUAUAUAAUUAAUGUGAAGCUCUUCCUUAAGUGAGAGCCCACAAUGUAAAUAUUAAUUUUAUCAACAAAUGAACCUAGAAAUUCAGUAUUACAGAUUCUUAGGAUAGUUUCAGCUGAUGGUCCGAUGCACCCAUAAAACUCUUUGCUAUCUCAAGGAAGGCUUGCAAGGUGUUGCGUGUGCCCCUUCCCCCACAGACAGUGUCUGUGAGAAGCAUCUCAGGAUACCCACAGUCAUAUCACGCAUCAGAAACAAAGCAAUGUCCUAGAUGAGCAGAAAUUUUCUGGAAGAAAUCAGACUGCCAGUAUUCAGAGAAUUGUGUUAAACAACCUCCAGAUAAAGCCUUUCACUAGGAUUAAUUUUUUUUUUAGUCAUAAAUCCCCUAAAUCAUUCUCUUCUACCUUCUGCCUGAACAAAACAGAUAAGCUUUUUGUCUUACAGCACUCAGAUAUCAAGACAUUAAACAGCUCUUAGAAAAUACUCAUAAUGUGUCAAGGCAUUGUAGGAUUCUGUUCAGCUGAAAAAUUAAAACUAAGAGAUAAAGUAAAAUACUUGAUAUGAUAAAGUACUGAUGCUCACAGUGGCCUUUGCUAAGCAUGUGUUCAUGUGUGUUCACAAGCAAUAUAUCAUAUUGCCCGUGAAGAAAAAGACAGAUUUAAUCUUGUUCAGGAAUAAUAGCAAAAUUCAAAAGAAAUGAGGCAAAAUCCAUUUUCUCUCUUCCACUGGAUCAUUCUGCCACAUUUGUGUAAAAUCAUAUUAUUUCGCAGAUUCCACUAAAAUAUCUGAGCCCUGUUCUGAUUUCUUCCACAUGCAGAAGUUAACUUGUGCAUAUUGCUCCUCUUUCUUCCCUCCAAGAAAAUAAGAAAAAAUCCAAGGUUUCCCAGAAGGGUAUCACACACGCAGACUUCCUUGAAGUAUUGAUUCAGACAGAAAAUUAAGUAUGGAUUCCAAAUUAUUUUGAUUUCUUUUCCCCCUUAUAUGCUACUUUGAACCUCCUGUGUGUUCUUUGUCUCAAUUCAACAUCAUGCUUUCUUUCUUUUACUUUUGACCCAUUCCGUCUGCUCUUUUUCUCUCAGUACUGCUUUUUCUGGGAUAGUUUAAGGCUCAUUAUGCUUGGAUCAAUAAUGUGGCAUAUUUUGUCUUAGGAAAAGUUGCUGAAACUUAAGGGAACACACAAUACCUCCCAAUUCAUGACGCAAAUUCAUUCAAUUAAAAAAACUUGACAGUGGAAGAAAUUAUAUUUUUCCUACCUGUAUCCUGACACAAAAUUUCACCAAAUAAGAACAUAUUAGAGAGGUCUUUAAAACUGCAUGGAUGCAUCUGUAUCAGCUGUGAUUAUCUCAGAAUAUAAAGCUGGAUACAACACUUUUGUUCACAAAACGUUGUCUGUCAAUCUCAGUUAAAUAUACAAAAGUAGGUCUUUUCAGUGAGGAAGUAUUUUUAAUAACUGAAUUUUCCAGUUUAACUGCACUUCUGACUUGCUAAAAGAGCUACUGCAAGUGUCUGAGUAAAGAAAUGAACCUAAUUCAUUCUGGACUUUGACCUACAACCAUACACCACUGAUGAAAAGAAGCCCAAAUUACAAGGGUCAUAAGUGGUUCAUACCAAGGGCCAACACAGAAUAUUAGCUUUUUUUUUUUUUUAUGACUCAGAGUAGCUCUUUAACACUGGCUGUGAAGUACAUUGCAGUUACAACUGUUACCUAGAGAAAUCAGGAUGUCUGCCUUCACACAGAGCCUGCUGCAUUCAGUGUGACUUCCUCCUCAACUGCCAGCCUAGACGCAUCACCUCAGCGUAAAGGAUUAACACCAGAAAUGAAGACUUGCGUGUUUGAUUACCUGUCACAAUUUAUUGGUAAUUCUUUUUCUACCCUCUGGGUCGGAUUGAUUUCCAGUUACUCUCAUGUAAACACAGAGAAGCUUUACCAAGUUAAAGGAGCAAAAAUCAGUGAAAAAUUGUGGUGAGAACAAAAUUAAGGCCCCUUGUUUUAAAUUUGGAGAUCUCUGAAGGCAACAAUUGAGGGUAAGAUUGCUUUAUACUUCACUUAUGUUAGACCCAUUUAAUUGAUAUCAGACCAUAAAAAUGGGUCUCAAAGCCAAACUAUAUUGAUACUUUAUAUAUGAAAUUCUUAUUUUUGAGUGCCAAUAAAUCCUGAUAUACCCAAAAGCCUCCUCCUUUAACAAUUUUCAUAAAGCAUUUAUCACCAAUGACCUCUGUAAAGAUCUACUAAAUGUAGUAUUAGUGCAAUCUAAAGAACAGCAUCAGCACUUUUAAAAUCUGAGUUUUUCAUAUUCAGGUUCUCAAAAUAUGAAGACACACUAGUCUCAGAACUAACUCAAUUUCUGUCAUUUAGUACAGUCACACUAUCAUCAAAGUUUUCUAUAAAUACAUAUCAUGAAACACUGUCAAUUUCAGUCUAUGAUAGCUAGAUAACAGUCCCACAAGAUACCAAAAAUGCAUGUGUCUUUAAGGAUUUAGCUUGAUUACUAUUAAAGCAAGCAGAGUUAAGCAGUUGCAAGAGAACUUUUCAGUUUUGGCAGGGCUAAGUAUUUUUACCGUUGUAAGGAUGCAAAGAACAACCUGACUGGAAUAGUUCCUUGGCCAAUGUAAAUCAGAGGAUCUCCACUGACUUCAGAAGAAUGUGUGGAUUUACAUUACUUCGAGAGCUGUCUAUUUGUUCAUGCUUUUAGAUUAAAUGUCAUUACUAUUAUUAGGAAAAGGUCAAGCCAAGUGUCUAUGUUAUAAAACAAAAAAAUCUAAACAACCAUGCAAGACUAAAACACACGUUAAUGAAAAGUGUUCUCUUUACCACUCACAGUUUAACUUUCAGAAUAUGAAAUACUGGUCUUUAUAAAUCUUCUGAUUGCUUCUUCAGAGAAUAAGACAAAAAUUUCUUCCAUUUUGAAGAAAUUUGCUUAUUAUUCUGGUUGUGAUUUUAAUGUAGAGGCCUUGUUGCUGCUGCCAUGUCAAGUUUUGGGGUGUGGAACCUUUUUGAGCUCUUAUGACAAAACUGUAUAAGCAGAAUGGCAUUAAAAAUACUUGUGUAACAAGUGUAAAAAAAGUUUAUAAAUUAAAGUAGACAUCUGAAGUUCAUGGUCAGUUCUUUAUUCCAUCACUUGAAGUCCUAGUAAGUGUCACAAAAUCUUGGUUGUACUGUUAUGUAAUCACUGUGUGCCCACAUUCCUACUGACAAGUCCCAGUAGCGGAGGUAUUCAAACCACUAAACUUUGGCAAAUAAUUUAAUACUAAGUAGAAGGCUGUGUGAUGAAAGAAGAACCUACAGGGAGUUUUUCAGAAUAUUUGGGUUAGGAACUUAAGCAGUACUCAAAUGGUCCUUUCCAUAAUGACCACAUUUCUGUCAUUGGGCAGGAACAAAUUUGCUUGCAUCAAAACACAACUCCAGACUUCCAUCAGCUUCAUUUCCAAAUGAGGACCCACAAAAUAGAUUUGUCCCUAUUAAUACCACUGUCAGAUUAUUAAAAAAAAAAAAAAAAACAAACAAAAAAAGCCCACACCAAAAAACUUUAAACACAUAUCUAACUUGCUUGCUUUGAGUUGUACAUGAUUGUGGGGACAAUGUGAAAAUGAAGUAUUGGAAAGGAAAGGGUAAGGAGUCUAAAAAACUGAUAACACUAUUCCUGUGAACACUACAGGCAGGGGAAUAAAAAAAUGCUAAUCUAAUUUUACAGUCAUGCUGAAAGACAUUUAGCAUGUUCUGGGGUUUCUGUAGAAAAAAAAUAAAUAUGACUACUAACAGAAAAAAAGUGGGGGUUUUGUUUUUGAUUUUUUUACCACAUUUAUGCUGGUAACCCAAGAAUCUACACAGACAGCAGAGGAGCUACAGGGAACCUGUACUGUUCUGGAGCCACAUCUGUAUGCAAAGUGGAGCCAACUAGAAUGGCAUUAAACAUCUGUGCUGAGGGUUCUGAAUCACCUCCUUCUACAUUAAAUGCUUAUAAGGAAGACAAAAUUUAGGAGCCAAGAACUAGGUAGCCCAUAUCCUGAAUGUUGUGAUGUAAGCUACACAUUUUAUACACUAGAUAUGGGAUUGAGAUUCUAAGUUGUCCUCUGAAAAUUUAGCACUUAACAGUGAA